rnacentral:rRNA from 1 species
ACGAACGCUGGCGGCGUGCUUAACACAUGCCAGUCGAACGGAAAGGCCCUGCUUUUGUGGGGUUCUCGAGUGGCGAACGGGUGAGUAACACGUGAGUAACCUGCCCUUGACUUUGGGAUAACUUCAGGAAACUGGGGCUAAUACCGGAUAGGAGCUCCUGCUGCAUGGUGGGGGUUGGAAAGUUUCGGCGGUUGGGGAUGGACUCGCGGCUUAUCAGCUUGUUGGUGGGGUAGUGGCUUACCAAGGCUUUGACGGGUAGCCGGCCUGAGAGGGUGACCGGCCACAUUGGGACUGAGAUACGGCCCAGACUCCUACGGGAGGCAGCAGUGGGGAAUAUUGCACAAUGGGCGGAAGCCUGAUGCAGCAACGCCGCGUGCGGGAUGACGGCCUUCGGGUUGUAAACCGCUUUCGCCUGUGACGAAGCGUGAGUGACGGUAAUGGGUAAAGAAGCACCGGCUAACUACGUG